rnacentral:tRNA from 1 species
GGGAAGUUGGCUCAGUGGUAGAGUACUUGCCUUGCAUGCAUGAAGCCCUGGGUUCGAUUUCUCA